CGCACAUUGCGCCCUCUGGUAUUCCGGGGGGCAUGCCUGUUCGAGCGUCAUUACAACCUUCAAGCUCAGCUUGGUAUUGGGUGUUUUUCGCCAGAGUUUCCUCUUCUCUUUUUGAAAAGGAACGGCGCACCUAAAAGUAAGCGGCGGUACGGCCGGUGAUCGAGCGUAGUAAAAAUCAUUUUCCCGCUCACGAAUCACCCGGAACGUCCUAGCCGGACAACCCACUGUCAUAUUUUUCUAUGGUUGACCUCGGAUCAGGUAGGGAUACCCGCUGAACUUAA
rnacentral:misc_RNA from 1 species